UGUAAUGGUGAGAGUUCAGAGCGUUCCUGAGGACCUGGAGAAGAUUUGCUGAUAAGAAUGACAUUUUGAAGGUUUUUGUUUUUUUUUUUUUUUUUUGGCUGAAAAAGGUGUCUCUGGAAUCACACUCCUAGAUCUUUCUUGAAGACUUGAAAAGAAUUAGAUUAGGGCCAUGGGGACACAGAAGGUCACCCCCAUUCUGAUCGUUGCCAUUACAGUUGCUACAAUCGGCUCUUUCCAAUUUGGCUACAACACUGGGGUCAUUAAUACUCCUGAGAUGAUCAUAAAGGAAUUUGUCAAUAACACUUUGAAGAACAAGAAAAAUGCCUCUCCCUCUGAGAUGUUGCUCGCGACCCUCUGGUCCUUGUCUGUGGCCACAUUCUCCGUUGGUGGUAUGGUCGGCUCCUUUUCCAUCGAACACUUUGUCAACCACUUUGGCAGGUGCAAUUCAAUGCUGAUCGUCAGCCUGCUGGCUGUCACUGGUGGCUGCCUUAUGGGCUUGUGUGAAGCAGCUGAGUCGGCUGAAAUGCUGAUACUGGGCUGCCUGGUUAUUGGCGUCUUCUGUGGACUGUGCACAGGCUUUGUGCCCAUGUACAUUGGAGAGAUCUCGCCUAUUGCCCUGCGGGGUGCCUUUGGCCCUCUCAACCAGCUGGGCAUUGUUGUCGGAAUUCUGGUGGCCCAGGUCUUUGGUCCGGCAUUCAUCACUGGGUCUGAAGCUCUAUGGCUGCUGUUACUGAGCUUUACCAUCCUUCCUGCCAUCCUACAAAGUACAGCCCUUCCAUUUUGCCCUGAAAGUCCCAGAUUUUUGCUCAUUGACAGAAAAGAAGAGGAGAAUGCUAAGCAGAUCCUCCAGUGGUUGUGGGGCACCCAGGAUGUAUCCCAACAUCCAGGAGAUGAAAGAUGAGAGUGCAAGGAUGUCACAAGAAAAGCAGGUCACCGUGCUGGAGCUCUGUAGAGUAUCCAGCUGCCGACAGCCCAUCACCAUCUCCAGCGUGCUCCAGCUCUCUCAGCAGCUCUCUGGGACCAAUGCUGCGUUCUGUUACUCCACAGGAAUCUUCAAGGAUGCAGGGGUUCAAGAACCCAUCUUUUUGUUCCAUACUCAUGACUGUUUCUUUGUUAUUAAAGGACGACUAUAAUGGGAUGAGCCUUGUCUGUAUUGGGGCUAUCUUGCUCUUUGUGGCCUUCUUUGAAAUUGGACCAGGCCCCAUGUGGCCGAACUCACCAGCCAUGGCCCCUGCCCAGCUGCAAUGGCAGUGGCCGGCUGCUCCAACUGGACCUCCAACUUCCUAGUCGGAUUGCUCUUCCCCUCUGCUCUUACAAUUUGGGAGCCUACAUUUUUAUUAUCUUCACCCGCUUCCUCAUUACCUUCUUGACCUUUACCUUCUUCAAAGUCCCUGAGACCCGCGGCAGGACUUUUGAGGAUCUUACGUGGGCCUUUGAAGGGCAGGCACAUGGUGCAGCUUGAUCCAGGAAGGAAGGCGUCGUGGAGAGGAACAGCAUCCAGCCUGCCAAGGAGACCACCACGAAUGUCUAA